GAGAUACUAGUAAAACCAAAUUACACUGCUUUGUCAAGGCAGAAUUGCAAGUUAAACUCUUGCGUACCUUG
rnacentral:tRNA from 1 species